AGAUCCCACGCGGGAGAGUCCGAGCGGCCGGUGCGGGUCGGCUCGGCGCCGAAGGAGCAAAUCCUCCCCGGAACCUCUCAGGCACCCGAACCGCGCGGGCGAG
rnacentral:ncRNA from 2 species